rnacentral:lncRNA from 1 species
AUCCAUGACACUUUCUGGAACACCAUGAUUCACAACUCGAAAAAAUCCCCAGUUCUCACAAGCAUCUCUAACUUCUUUAACAACUCUGCCACGCGAACUCUCAUCGAUAUCAAUAUUUUUCAAGUCUAUGCUUGGAAAACCAGAUUUGCUGUGCCUUGAAGAUGGAAUUUGACUUAUUUGAGCUUGAUUAUGUACAAAUAUUCGAGGGAUUUUGGUGACACCGGAGUCUACAAGUCCCUUUACACCAGCUUUUGUAUCAUCAAAAGCUUUUAACUCACUUUGUCGAUCAUAUCCUUGUUUCUCCAUUGUUUUGGUAGCUCAAAUGUUGUGACUACUGAGCUAAAAUAGUGAGCAGAUAAGAUGAUGUGGCGCGAUGUGGACGCAUUUUUUCCUGUAUGACAAGGAAAAAUUUAAUCAAUACUUAUCAACAACGUCACUGCCUCCGUCACUUUUUGGUCAUAUGUUAUAAUCAUAUUAUUAAUUUGGAAUCUCUAGAGCCUGAUCUGCAGUAAUGGAGGAAGCCAUUAAGCCCUUAUGAAUACGAGUAUGAUACAUAAUCAGUUGGUGUGUUAGGAGUUGUCCCACAUCGGUUGUGGGAGGGGUAUAAAGCUAGAAUAUGAGUAGUCAGAACAUUUCUAAGAUGUUUUAUUGGAGGUGUCCAAAAACAAAAUCGUGCGGAUAUCACACAUAGUAUCGUCGUGAUUUUAGAUUUACCAAUCCCGUCAUCAGUAGAAAAAACAACAUUUUAAAACCAUAACAAUGUUUUCAUAUGAUACAUGAAGAAGAUUUCCUGCGUGUGCCACAAGAGAUCCAGGAACAAGACAACAUUAACUCAGUGAUUACCGAGAGCGACUAGUAGGUCACUAGUCUUGCAAAGUAUCACUCAGUUUAAUAUAUCAUAACAGCUAAUCAGCUUGAGUGAUUUUGUCACCAAGCAAAUUAUUCUUAUAUUAUUAUACAUAUUUAUCUAUUUUGGACUACAAAUUUUAUUCAUUUCAGCCUGAAGUGCAGCAAUCGAGAUUCCCCGUCCAGCCCUUUUGAGUAGGAGUAUGAUAAAUAUUCUUGAGCUGUUGUUUCUCUAUACUUGGGAGGAUUAUCAUCUGAAACCAACUCUUUGAUAGGUCCAUAGAGCUUCGGAGAUGGCAUUAGACCAGUGCUAAAGAAGCAUGCUACUGAUACUCUCAGGCCAAUUUUGUUUGCAACGACUCUGUGCUCCACACUUUUAAAGCGAUCAUUCGUUAGAAGCUGAAAAAACAAUCAUUAAACAAGAAUGAGAAACCUGAACUUGUCUUCACUUCAAUCAUUCAAUGUACACUACACAACAUCUAAAUUCGCAAUACUUGCCUGUAGAAGAUCUCCGAUGUUAACUAUAAGUGUCCCCGGAAGAGGCGGAACAUCAAUCCAAUGAUCUUGGUGAAGAAUUUGUAGUCCACCAAUCUGAUCUUGAAGAAGUACAGUGAGGAAAUGAAAAUCAGUGUGUUUGGUGGUGCCUAAUGUCAGUUCUGGCUGCGGACAUGGGGGAUAGCAAUGACAGAACAAUUCAAGCCCCUUGGCACAUUCCAUAUCUUCUAGGUGAUUAAUGUCCAGUCCCAGAGCCUUGGAUAGUAAUCCAAAUAAAGUAAUCCCCAAUUUCAUUACUUGUUCUGAAAACUCUAUCUGGAUAUCUCUACAAAUUUUAAUCAUAAUGGUAAAUUAUAAGCUUCACUGGUAGGAAAAUAUAGGUCACAUUUAAGAUCCGGAAUUAUCAUAUCAAAAUUCAGCAUACCUGCAUGGUGCUGGCAAUUCCUCUGGUUGAGGAGGAGGAGCCAUAACACAGUAAAGUGUGUCCCUCCAAUCAGCUGCCGGUGCACUAAACAAAUAAAAAUUGCUAUAGUACACCACUUUUCUUGUAGAGUCACGCGUGUAAAACUCUUUCUUCACCUCAGUGUCUUGCUCAAAGAACCUACGUACUCCAUGAAGCAUCUCUUCUAAUACAUUCACUGGAAUCCCAUGAUUCACAACUUGGAAAACACCAAAUGUCUCAGAUGCACACCGCACUUUAUUAACUAUCUCUUGAUGACUCUCUUGAUCUUUAUCAAGGCCUUCAAGAUCGAUGACAGGAAUACAAAAAUCUUUGCACUUGUCACCUGAGUUAUUUUCAAAGACAUCAGGUGGAUGAAUGAAUAUAUCCGGAAUUUUCUUAACUCCAGCGUCUACUAGUCCUUUCACCCCGGCUUUGGUAUCAUCAAAAGCUUGUAAUUCAUUCUUCCGGUUGGAGUAAGAUCUGUGGGACUGUUCUGCUGCUUCCAUGGUAUUACCAGUGACCAUAAACAUCUUGUGUUAUGUGCAUUAUAUAUUGUAAUUGCUAUUAUUUCUUGCCACGCCAGUAGUUCAAAGAUAAAUAAUUGACAGCUGCAUCUAACAACUAGUUUCCCAAAGAUACUCAAAUGUGCAACUUGAAAGCUUCAUUUUGAUAUGUCAUACAUAAUUAGUAAAAGUUCAUCUCAGCAAGUCAUGCAUAAUUUGCAACAAUAACAAUGAUAUCUGCAUGUUUAUAGUUAUUUUUUCGAAUUGAAAAUGCAUGAAUUUGUCAUAUUUGGUGGCAAAUGGUUACAAGUUACAACUGGUGCCUAGUCCUCAUCCUUGUUAAAGCAAUUCUUGGCGAUAGUCUGAACUUCCUAGACACUAGUGAGGUAAUUGAGAGUUGUAAAUUAAUUCUUGGAAGUUUGUAUCGAGUUUUAGUUACGUUUAUUCAGGAAAGUGCUAGUAAGGUAGUCAGUAGUGUAGGAAGUAUAAAUGGAGAAAUUACGUAAAAUCAAAUAAUCAAUAAUAAUAUAACAGUAUAUAUUAGAGGCACUUGAAAACCACACUAUAUUUAAAACAAAUAAGCUCUUUCACAUGGUGUUUGAAGGUGUUGUUGCUUCCAUCUUCCAGGAUACAACGAAUAGAGGUGAUCUAAAGCACUAGAGACCCGCCUCCUACAAACCGAAAACUGAACAAAUAGUCUUCUAUCUCACAAGAACUGAACCCUGAACCUACAGCUCUAACAUGAAUGAGUACAAGAACGGUGGCUGUGCAAGGGGCGAACGCACGUAAAAUGAUGAGGAGAAAUUUGCUAACCAAAUUAAGAAAAUGUUUUUAUCCUUAAAUCAUUGUGAUAUAUUAUUUUGACAUUGUAUUACUUGUAACAAGUCAAAUAUAAAAAACAAAAAAAAAAUCCAGAGAAACAGAGUAAUCCAUAUACAUAUUGAACAUCCCCUUUACUAAUCAACUCCAAUAAUUUGACUACCAAACAAUCUAUUUGAAUCUUUAGAGCCUGAUCUGCAGUAAUGGAGGAAGCCAUUAAGCCCUUAUGAAUACGAGCACAUAAUGAGUUCCCCUUGAUCCAUAUCGAUAGCCUAGUUAAGCAACUUGAAAGCUGAUAGUGCAGAGGUUCCAUCGAGACCUUUGUUGUAAUAGUGUGUGACGAACUCUUUGAUUGUAAUUUCUCUGUAGCACGGCGGGUUUGUUUCAGAUAGCAACUCCUUGAUCGGGCUGUAUGACCUUGAUGCUGUUUUCUCCCAAAAAUGUGUUCUAAAGAAACUUGCCACUGAUAUUCUAGGGCCAAUCUUUUGUGCUAAUACUCUGUGGUUCACACUCUUGAAUUUGUCAUUGGUAAUGAGCUGCACAGAUAAAACAAGUUAAACAAUUUGUAAUCUAGUCAUAGUUUUGUACACAAUGAUCAGUAGUACUAACACAAAGUACCAAAGUGUUGUUAAUCUACCAGAUUAAACGAGUUUUUUAUGACAUAUAACAUCCCUUUACCUGUAAAAGGUCUGCAAUGUUUACUAUUAAAGAUCCGGGGACAUGAGGGAUAUCGAUCCACUCAUUGUCAUGAAUAACUUGGAGGCCGCCUAUGUUGUCUUGUAAGAGUAUGGUAAAAAACCCGCUAUCAGAGUGAUUGCUGGUGGCUAGAGUUAGUUCUGGUUCAGGGCAUGCAGGGUAGUAGUGACCAACUAGGAAAAGGCCUUCAGCACAAGCCAUGUCUUUCAAGUGAUUCCUAUUAAGUCCAAGAGCUUCUGAGAAUAGUUCCAACAGUGUAAUCCCCAUUUUCAUUAUGUACUCUGAGUAAUCAAACAUGAUGUCUCUGCAGUACAGGAUAAUGCACAAAAUCAAAAACCAAGAACUUGUCAAUAUUCAAAUAUUAUGUAUACUGUUUUUGAGUAUAUAUGAUACUACUCAAUUCUUAAAUAGAAUCGCGCAGAGGCAAAACUAAGCAAACAUUUAGUUUUCGACCUACUAAAAGAAGAACAAGUUUUUUCUAAUUGAGAUCAUAAAUGUACACAAAAACACGCAUAAAUCACAAGUCUUGACAUGUACCUGCACACUUCAGGCAUUUCCUCCAGCUGAGGAGGCUCCGGAGCCAUGUUACAGAAGAUAGUAUCCCUCCAGUUAGCUGCAGGUGCUUUAUAAAGAUCAAAAUUGCUAUUAUACAGAAACUUUUUUGUAAAAUCACGCGAAUAAAACAGCUUCUUCAGCUCAGUAUCUUGCUCAUGAAACUUACAAACUCCAUCGAUCAUUUCAUCCAGGACACUCUCUGGCACACCAUGAUUCACAACUCGAAAAAAUCCCCAGUUCUCACAAGCAUCUCUAACUUCUUUAACAACUCUGCCACGUGAACUCUCAUCGAUAUCGAUAUCCUUAAGGUCUAUGCUUGGAAAACCAGAUUUGCUGUGCCUUGAAGAUGGAAUUUGACUUAUUUGAGCUUGAUUAUGUACAAAUAUUCGAGGGAUUUUGGUGACACCGGAGUCUACAAGUCCCUUUACACC